ACUCCUACGGGAGGCAGCAGUGGGGAAUAUUGCACAAUGGGCGAAAGCCUGAUGCAGCAACGCCGCGUGGAGGAUGAAGGCCUUCGGGUUGUAAACUCUUGUCUUCUGGGACGAUAAUGACGGUACCAGAGGAGGAAGCCACGGCUAACUACGUGCCAGCAGCCGCGGUAAU
rnacentral:rRNA from 2 species